rnacentral:rRNA from 1 species
UACAGAGGGUGCAAGCGUUAAUCGGAAUUACUGGGCGUAAAGCGUGCGUAGUCGGUUAUCUAAGUCGGAUGUGAAAGCCCCGGGCUCAGCCCGGGAAGUGCGCUCGAAACAGCGCGGCUCGAGUGCCGGAGGGGAGAGUGGAAUUCCUGGUGUAGCGAUGAAAUGCGUAGAUAUCAGGAGGAAUACCGGUGGCGAAAGCGACUCUCUGGACGGCAACUGACGCUGAGGCACGAAAGCGUGGGGAGCAAACAGG